rnacentral:rRNA from 1 species
UUUAUUGGAGAGUUUGAUCCUGGCUCAGGAUGAACGCUGGCGGCGUGCCUAAUACAUGCAAGUCGAGCGAAUGGAUUAAGAGCUUGCUCUUAUGAAGUUAGCGGCGGACGGGUGAGUAACACGUGGGUAACCUGCCCAUAAGACUGGGAUAACUCCGGGAAACCGGGGCUAAUACCGGAUAACAUUUUGAACCGCAUGGUUCGAAAUUGAAAGGCGGCUUCGGCUGUCACUUAUGGAUGGACCCGCGUCGCAUUAGCUAGUUGGUGAGGUAACGGCUCACCAAGGCAACGAUG